UUCCGGUUGAUCCUGCCAGAGGUUACUGCUAUCGGUGUUCGCCUAAGCCAUGCGAGUCAUAUGUAGCAAUACAUGGCGUACUGCUCAGUGACACGUGGAUAACCUGCCCUUGGGACCGGCAUAACCCCGGGAAACUGGGGAUAAUUCCGGAUAACGCAUAUUUGCUGGAAUGCUUUAUGCGUCAAAAGGAUUCGUCUGCCCAAGGAUGGGUCUGCGGCCUAUCAGGUAGUAGUGGGUGUAAUGUACCUACUAGCCAGCGACGGGUACGGGUUGUGAGAGCAAGAGCCCGGAGAUGGAUUCUGAGACAUGAAUCCAGGCCCUACGGGGCGCAGCAGGCGCGAAAACUUUACAAUGCGGGAAACCGUGAUAAGGGGACACCGAGUGCCAGCAUCAUAUGCUGGCUGUCCGGAUGUGUAAAAUACAUCCGUUAGCAAGGGCCGGGCAAGACCGGUGCCAGCCGCCGCGGUAACACCGGCGGCCCGAGUGGUGAUCGUGAUUAUUGGGUCUAAAGGGUCCGUAGCCGGUUUGGUCAGUCCUCCGGGAAAUCUGAUAGCUUAACUAUUAGGCUUUCGGGGGAUACUGCCAGACUUGGAACCGGGAGAGGUAAGAGGUACUACAGGGGUAGGAGUGAAAUCUUGUAAUCCCUGUGGGACCACCUGUGGCGAAGGCGUCUUACCAGAACGGGUUCGACGGUGAGGGACGAAAGCUGGGGGCACGAACCGGAUUAGAUACCCGGGUAGUCCCAGCCGUAAACGAUGCUCGCUAGGUGUCAGGCAUGGCGCGACCGUGUCUGGUGCCGCAGGGAAGCCGUGAAGCGAGCCACCUGGGAAGUACGGCCGCAAGGCUGAAACUUAAAGGAAUUGGCGGGGGAGCACAACAACGGGUGGAGCCUGCGGUUUAAUUGGAGUCAACGCCGGG
rnacentral:rRNA from 1 species